rnacentral:rRNA from 1 species
UACGUAGGGUGCGAGCGUUAAUCGGAAUUACUGGGCGUAAAGCGUGCGCAGGCGGUUUUGUAAGACAGGUGUGAAAUCCCCGGGCUUAACCUGGGAAUGGCGCUUGUGACUGCCAGGCUAGAGUGCGUCAGAGGGGGGUAGAAUUCCACGUGUAGCAGUGAAAUGCGUAGAGAUGUGGAGGAAUACCGAUGGCGAAGGCAGCCCCCUGGGACGUGACUGACGCUCAUGCACGAAAGCGUGGGGAGCAAACAGG